rnacentral:lncRNA from 1 species
AUGUUUUGCCUUUUCUUUUGCUCAUUGUUCCCUAAAGCCACAUAUUUGUUUUAUGAUUUUCCACCUUCACAUGCCAUUUCUUCUUAUUCUCCCCAGAUGCCUCAUUGCUAUGUCUCUCCCUUUUUUCUCCAGCAUCUUACUUGCUGUUGGAAGUCUGGCUUGACCCAAUGUGAGGCCCUCUUCUCCAUUCCAGAUCCAGGACACCAUUCCCUGAAGGAGCCAUCAGGGGCCUGUGGGAUAGAGGCCAUUGCUGGGGAUGCCCUGAUAGAGGUCCUUCAACAAAUAACAAGUAAGAGGCUGCAGUUUCUGCAACGAGAGAUGAUGGGGCUGAAAUGUCAGCAGGACAGACCAGGAUGGAAGAUCAAUCACGGAGCGGAGAGAAGGUGUGGUCACUGGAUUGGGGGCACCUCCUACCCGCCAUGCUUGAGCAUCCUCUUCGUGGAAAGAUCUCUAUCUCUCUGGUUCCCCAUGCUGUGAGCUCCCCCAGGCAAAGGCUGUACCUUUUGUUUUCCUCAGCACCUCUCUUAGAACCCAGAACAAUGUCCAGAGGAGAACAGGCAUUCAGGGUAAAUGUUGAGUCAGUGUUGUCCCAGCCUUGGUGAAGCAGGGGCAUCUAGCAUGCUGUGAGAUGCUGUGUGCUGAGGAGUUAUAUUCCAGGGUACUAACUGGCAGCCAGACCCAUCACUGCAGGUUUGGAUUUGUCACUUAUUAGCUGAGUACCUUUUGGCAAACUCCAUUAUUUUCAAAUGUCUUGAUUUUUAAAAAUGGGAAAAUUAGUACUUUCACAGGGUUGUCAUAAGAAAGAAUCAGGAUAGUGAACACGAAAGCAAUUUUAAACCAAACUGCUCAGUGGAAGUAUAAUUUUAGCUUAUUAUCCUUCUCAUCACUGUCACCACCCAGAUGCAUGAAUCAACAAAUGGACCCGGGAAGAAAGGCAGAAGGAGAAGCAGAGAUGAAAUGCUCACAGUAAACCUAGGGAGACAUAAUUUCCAGGAUUUGAACAUUCUGGCUAAAGAGAGUUUGAACAUAACCUAGUUUAACCCUCUUAUUUCAUAGAAUGAGGAAACGUCCCUGAAGAAGGAAGUGACUUGCCCAAGUUCAUGAGCCAGCCAAUGUAGCUGCUGAACUAAGAAAGGAUCCAGUCUGUCUAAGACGAUUGAACAUUCUCCUAACUUUCUUGACAAAAGAAGUGUCUGAAUCUUUCCUUCCAAAUUCUGUCCUCUCCAUGCUCUCCUGCCUCUUCCCUGAUCAGAGGACACAUGGCUUUCCGGUUACACACUCAGUGUAAGGAAUUAGGGGGAUGAAUUACACAGCAGUCAUCCCUUCCCCAAGUUCCCCAAGAAUAACAAAUGGCUGCCCAUUCUGAGUCAAGAGCCUUUUUUUUUUUUGGCUCAAACAAGCCAAGAGGUGCAAAGGACCUCAUCCUAAAGGUUAAUUUCCACUACAAAAGGAUAGAGUUCCAUUUAGGUGAACAAAUACAAGUUUCUUAGUCAUGUUGGUGGACCUGAUGAAAGAGAAAUAAAGGCUUUGCAGAAAUGAAAACUCA